GAUGAACGCUGGCGGCGUGCUUAACACAUGCAAGUCGAACGGUGAAGGCGGAGCUUGCUCUGCUGGAUCAGUGGCGAACGGGUGAGUAACACGUGAGCAAUCUGCCCCUGACUCUGGGAUAAGCGCUGGAAACGGCGUCUAAUACUGGAUACGAGCUGCGAAGGCAUCUUCAGCAGCUGGAAAGAAUUUCGGUCAGGGAUGAGCUCGCGGCCUAUCAGCUUGUUGGUGAGGUAAUGGCUCACCAAGGCGUCGACGGGUAGCCGGCCUGAGAGGGUGACCGGCCACACUGGGACUGAGACACGGCCCAGACUCCUACGGGAGGCAGCAGUGGGGAAUAUUGCACAAUGGGCGAAAGCCUGAUGCAGCAACGCCGCGUGAGGGACGACGGCCUUCGGGUUGUAAACCUCUUUUAGCAGGGAAGAAGCGAAAGUGACGGUACCGGCAGAAAAAGCGCCGGCUAACUACGU
rnacentral:rRNA from 1 species